rnacentral:tRNA from 1 species
GGCAUUAUGGUGUAGUGGUUUAGCACUUGGGAUUCUGAUUUCAGAGUAUUCCCAGAACCCAGGUUCGAUCCCUGGUAACGCCU